rnacentral:rRNA from 1 species
GAACGGUAACAGGCCCGCAAGGGUGCUGACGAGUGGCGGACGGGUGAGGAAUACAUCGGAAUCUGCCCGGUUGUGGGGGAUAACGUAGGGAAACUUACGCUAAUACCGCAUACGACCGAGAGGUGAAAGCGGGGGAUCGCAAGACCUCGCGCGAUCGGAUGAGCCGAUGUCGGAUUAGCUAGUUGGCGGGGUAAAGGCCCACCAAGGCGACGAUCCGUAGCUGGUCUGAGAGGAUGAUCAGCCACACUGGGACUGAGACACGGCCCAGACUCCUACGGGAGGCAGCAGUGGGGAAUAUUGGACAAUGGGGGCAACCCUGAUCCAGCAAUGCCGCGUGUGUGAAGAAGGCCUUCGGGUUGUAAAGCACUUUUAUCCGGAACGAAACGCGCAGGGUGAAUAUCCUUGCGAACUGACGGUACCGGAGGAAUAAGCACCGGCUAACUUAGUG